UGGGUGAUCUGCCCUGCACUUCGGGAUAAGCCUGGGAAACUGGGUCUAAUACCGGAUAUGACCUCCUAUCGCAUGGUGGGUGGUGGAAAGAUUUAUCGGUGCAGGAUGGGCCCGCGGCCUAUCAGCUUGUUGGUGGGGUAAUGGCCUACCAAGGCGACGACGGGUAGCCGACCUGAGAGGGUGACCGGCCACACUGGGACUGAGACACGGCCCAGACUCCUACGGGAGGCAGCAGUGGGGAAUAUUGCACAAUGGGCGAAAGCCUGAUGCAGCGACGCCGCGUGAGGGAUGACGGCCUUCGGGUUGUAAACCUCUUUCAGCAGGGACGAAGCGCAAGUGACGGUACCUGCAGAAGAAGCACCGGCUAACUACGUGCCAGCAGCCGCGGUAAUACGUAGGGUGCAAGCGUUGUCCGGAAUUACUGGGCGUAAAGAGUUCGUAGGCGGUUUGUCGCGUCGUUUGUGAAAACCAGCAGCUCAACUGCUGGCUUGCAGGCGAUACGGGCAGACUUGAGUACUGCAGGGGAGACUGGAAUUCCUGGUGUAGCGGUGAAAUGCGCAGAUAUCAGGAGGAACACCGGUGGCGAAGGCGGGUCUCUGGGCAGUAACUGACGCUGAGGAACGAAAGCGUGGGUAGCGAACAGGAUUAGAUACCCUGGUAGUCCACGCCGUAAACGGUGGGCGCUAGGUGUGGGUUCCUUCCACGGAAUCCGUGCCGUAGCUAACGCAUUAAGCGCCCCGCCU
rnacentral:rRNA from 1 species